rnacentral:rRNA from 1 species
GAACGCUGAAGAGAGGAGCUUGCUCUUCUUGGAUGAGUUGCGAACGGGUGAGUAACGCGUAGGUAACCUGCCUUGUAGCGGGGGAUAACUAUUGGAAACGAUAGCUAAUACCGCAUAACAAUGGAUGACACAUGUCAUUUAUUUGAAAGGGGCAAAUGCUCCACUACAAGAUGGACCUGCGUUGUAUUAGUUAGUAGGUGAGGUAACGGCUCACCUAGGCGACGAUACAUAGCCGACCUGAGAGGGUGAUCGGCCACACUGGGACUGAGACACGGCCCAGACUCCUACGGGAGGCAGCAGUAGGGAAUCUUCGGCAAUGGGGGCAACCCUGACCGAGCAACGCCGCGUGAGUGAAGAAGGUUUUCGGAUCGUAAAGCUCUGUUGUAAGUCAAGAACGAGUGUGAGAGUGGAAAGUUCACACUGUGACGGUAGCUUACCAGAAAGGGACGGCUAACUACGUGCCAGCAGCCGCGGUAAUACGUAGGUCCCGAGCGUUGUCCGGAUUUAUUGGGCGUAAAGCGAGCGCAGGCGGUUUGAUAAGUCUGAAGUUAAAGGCUGUGGCUCAACCAUAGUUCGCUUUGGAAACUGUCAAACUUGAGUGCAGAAGGGGAGAGUGGAAUUCCAUGUGUAGCGGUGAAAUGCGUAGAUAUAUGGAGGAACACCGGUGGCGAAAGCGGCUCUCUGGUCUGUAACUGACGCUGAGGCUCGAAAGCGUGGGGAGCGAACAGGAUUAGAUACCCUGGUAGUCCACGCCGUAAACGAUGAGUGCUAGGUGUUGGAUCCUUUCCGGGAUUCAGUGCCGCAGCUAACGCAUUAAGCACUCCGCCUGGG